AAAAAAUUAAUUAAAUUAAUUAAUUAGCUUAUUCAAAGCGUGUAUUUUGAAAAUACAAGAAAGAUUAUAAAAAAUUUAUUAAUUUA
rnacentral:rRNA from 1 species